rnacentral:rRNA from 1 species
AGGAUUAACGCUGGCGGCGUGCAUGAGACAUGCAAGUCGAACGGACACUCGGGGGCUUGCUCUGAGUGUUAGUGGCAGACGGCUGAGUAACGCGUAGGUGACCUGCCCCGAAGUGGGGAAUAACUGCCCGAAAGGGUGGCUAAUACCGCAUGUGGUGAUGCGUUCGAUUCGCAUCAGUAAAGCCGCAAGGCGCUUCGGGAGGGCCUGCGCGUAUACGUCGUUCGUUGGUGACGGUAACGCUACCAACGAGGACGACGAGUCGGGUAGGGUCGUCGUGAGGACGGA